AAAUUUAUAAUCUUUCACCUUCGGUGACCGAGUUGUAAUCUCUAGAAAUGUUUUCCGCGUUGGACCGCACACAAGUCUGUUGGAAUACAGCGGCAUAGUGGUGAGACCCCCGUAUAUGGUGCGGACGCCCAGCGCUUUGUGAUACAUUUUCGAAGAGUCGAGUUGUUUGGGAAUGCAGCUCAAAUUGGGUGGUAAAUUCCAUCUAAAGCUAAAUAUUGGCGAGAGACCGAUAGCGAACAAGUACCGUGAGGGAAAGAUGAAAAGCACUUUGGAAAGAGAGUUAACAGUACGUGAAAUUGUUGGAAGGGAAACGCUUGAAGUCAGACUUGCUUGCCGAGCAAUCGGUUUGCAGGCCAGCAUCAGUUUUCCGGGAUGGAUAAUGGUAGAGAGAAGGUAGCAGUUUCGGCUGUGUUAUAGCUCUCUGCUGGAUACAUCUUGGGGGACUGAGGAACGCAGUGUGCCUUUGGCGGGGGUUUCGACCUCUUCACACUUAGGAUGCUGGUGGAAUGGCUUUAAACGAC
rnacentral:rRNA from 1 species